rnacentral:misc_RNA from 1 species
AUCUUGAGAUUGUUGUUUGCCUUAACAGCAUAACCAACGACUGACUGCAGCCCCUCUAGGGCUUCACGAUACGCCUCGAAGUUGCGGGUGAUCUGGGCCUUGCUGUAGAGGUAGAAGGGGCUGCGCUCGGCGACCUCCAUGGCAUCCUCGACGCGGACGGUCUCGCAGUACAGAUAGCCAUCGGAGGCCUUGGAGAAGCAGUGGCGGAACGGGAUGGCCGGCGACGCUACCGCCGUUGCGGCGGGCGUGGUGGCGGCGGCGCGAAGACGGAGGGAGAGGGGUUUGGCGGCGGAGGGGGCCGGGAAGUGGAGUGAGGAUUUUGAGGGGAUGGGGGAGAUAGAGAGAGUUGAGAUCUUG